rnacentral:rRNA from 1 species
AUUGAACGCUAGCGGCAUGCUUUACACAUGCAAGUCGAACGAGUGGCGGACGGGUGAGUAAUAUCUCGGAACGUGCCCGAUAGCGGGGGAUAACUACUCGAAAGAGUAGCUAAUACCGCAUACUAUUGGAGCGGCCCAUAUCGGAUUAGCUAGUAGGUGGGGUAAAGGCUCACCUAGGCAACGAUCCGUAGCUGGUCUGAGAGGACGACCAGCCACACUGGGACUGAGACACGGCCCAGACUCCUACGGGAGGCAGCAGUGGGGAAUAUUGGACAAUGGGGGAAAGCCUGAUCCAGCCAUGCCGCGUGUAUGAGAAGGCCUUCGGGUGGUAAAGUACUUUUAGCAGAGAAGCGUUAUCCGCAGAAUAAGCACCGGCUAACUACGUGCCAGCAGCCGCGGUAAUAC